CUGGCCGUAAACGAUGGAUACUAGGUGUAGGAGGUAUCGACCCCUUCUGUGCCGGAGUUAACGCAAUAAGUAUCCCGCCUGGGGACUACGAUCGCAAGAUUGAAACUCAAAGGAAUUGAC
rnacentral:rRNA from 1 species